GGCGAACGCUGGCGGCAGGCCUAACACAUGCAAGUCGAACAAAGUCUUCGGACUUAGUGGCGGACGGGUGAGUAACACGUGGGAACGUACCUUUUGGUUCGGAACAACUCAGGGAAACUUGAGCUAAUACCGGAUGAGCCCUUAGGGGGAAAGAUUUAUCGCCGAAAGAGCGGCCCGCGUUAGAUUAGCUAGUUGGUGAGGUAAAGGCUCACCAAGGCUACGAUCUAUAGCUGGUCUGAGAGGAUGAUCAGCCACACUGGGACUGAGACACGGCCCAGACUCCUACGGGAGGCAGCAGUGGGGAAUCUUGCGCAAUGGGCGAAGGCCUGACGCAGCCAUGCCGCGUGAAUGAUGAAGGUCUUAGGAUUGUAAAAUUCUUUUACCAGGGACGAUAAUGACGGUACCUGGAGAAAAAGCCCCGGCUAACUUCGUGCCAGCAGCCGCGGUAA
rnacentral:rRNA from 1 species